rnacentral:misc_RNA from 1 species
AACAAGGCGUACCUGCGGACCUGCGGAAGGAUCAUUAUCGUGGAGCUACGGCUCCUUUGAGGGAGAACCCUUGCCUUUUCGAGCACCUGUUUGUUUCCUCGGCAGGCCCGCCUGCCAAUGGGGACCCUUUUGAACUCUUGCAGUAACCUGGAAAAAAUUGUCUGAAUAAAAAAUCAAAAUCAAAACUUUUAACAAUGGAUCU